UACGAAGGGGGCUAGCGUUGCUCGGAAUCACUGGGCGUAAAGGGUGCGUAGGCGGGGCUUUAAGUCAGGGGUGAAAUCCUGGAGCUCAACUCCAGAACUGCCUUUGAUACUGGGAGUCUUGAGUUCGGGAGAGGUGAGUGGAACUGCGAGUGUAGAGGUGAAAUUCGUAGAUAUUCGCAAGAACACCAGUGGCGAAGGCGGCUCACUGGCCCGAUACUGACGCUGAGGUGCGAAAGCCAGGGGAGCAAACGGG
rnacentral:rRNA from 1 species